rnacentral:rRNA from 1 species
UACGUAGGUGGCAAGCGAUACUCGGAAUCACUAGGCGUAAAGCGCAGGUAGGCGGUUUAGUAAGUCUUUUGUGAAAGCUCCCGGCUCAACUGGGAGAGGUCAAAGGAAACUACUAGGCUAGAGUUUGGUAGGGGAUACUGGAGUUCCUGGUGUAGCGGUGAAAUGCGUAGAUAUCAGGAGGAAUACCUAUGGCGAAAGCAGGUAUCUGGGCCACAACUGACGCUGAGCUGCGAAAGCUAGGGGAGCAAACAGG